GAUUCAGUUUUCUUUAUGACAACCGGCCAAACAGCUUUCCGUCUUGAAAGCAGGAAAAGGCUCUAAGCCACCUCCGUUUGCUAAUUCCUGGAACAUUUUUGCGUAACUGCCGCGCUUUUUAGGAGAGACCCUGGGAAUGAGUUUGCGCUGUCAGUUAAAAUGACGGCUGUUACGCGGUUGUUUGAAGCAAGAGAUUUAAUGUGGUGUAAUGUAACUUAACUAUCACCGCCCAUAAGCGCAGGUUUUAUCAUCGACUUGCAACAGAGAUUAAACCACCGGAGUGCAGAUUGUGGGCUGUUCUGAUGACUCAAGAUGGCGGAAAGUGAAGUGAAUGGCGUCGGAGAACACGGUUUGUCCUGGCCGGUGAAAGUUCUUGAUGCAAGCAAGGACGGCGAAAUCGUAAAAUUCACCAUACAAACCAACAUUGUUGAUGACAGUGAAAAAGAGAAAGGAGUUGUAGUUCUUCGUCAGUAUGAAGACCUAGAGUGGCUCUCUCACUGUUUAAUAGCUCACAAUAAUGUGGAUGGAGUUGUUGUA